GAAGUUCUCAGAGAAGGGUAUGCUGUGGACUGUAGCCCUAUUUGUAGCUUUCCUUGCUCCUGGAAGUCAAGCUUCUUCCAAACCAGAAGAAACAAUGAGAAUGGUUACCCAGUCAGCUGGGUCGUCUGUUAUAAUCACUUGUGGGAUUUCUCAACAAAGCAGCUAUAUCCACUGGUACCGUUUCAAGGAUGGAGAGGCCCCACAACGCCUUCUCUACUAUGACUUCAUUAAGUCUUCUUUUGUAAUGGAUUCAGGAGUCAGUCCAAGCAAAUAUCAUGCCUACGAACACACUGGAAAGAGCUGUAAAUUUGUAGUACAAAAUCUAGAAGAAAGUGAUUCUGGAAUGUAUUACUGUGCCACCUUCUUAGCACAGUGGUUCAGACCUGCCCAGAACUACACUGAAAAUGUUGCUUGUGGUUGUUCCUGGUAUCCACAUAGACCACCCCCACAUUACCUCUUGCUCCUCUCUCACUGUGCUCUGUAAAAAGCACCUCACAGUUCACCACCUAACACCAAGCCUACUGCCCACUCCCCUCUCAGUGGCUUCCCUUUGGCCUCAGAACCUCAUGCUUGCACCCUCUGCCCCAGGAGUUUCCUAAGGACCAAAAGCCCAUCGCCAAGUUGUUAGCUCAGCAGGCUAGCACCCGGCUGAGUUCUUUCUCACCCCCCCGCCCCCUUAGCUGGAAAGUUACUAUUUCAUCUGAUUGUAGGUUGGGCAAGCUCUCCUAGUUGGUUUGUUAGGAGAAACAUUUCAUCUCCUGGAAUACUGUAUCCAGGGAGCAAGUUUAUGAAAUCUGUGCAUUUAAGCUUCCAGAUUAGUGAAAUAUUGCAGUCAUUCCAAAGGUUCCAAUGAAUAAGGAAACAAACGCUCAGGGAUGUAUCACUUAGUUGUCUUGAAUCUUCACAUUUUGGCACAUUUGCCUCAUUUUAUAUGACUGUUAUUACUGAUGCAGCUGAAGACUCUGAGUUUAUAAUCCCAACCCCAUUCUUCCUCUUCUCUUCCCAUGGGAACCAGCAACUUGAACUUGGUGCCCUUGUCUCUCUCAUGCUGCAGGUGCUUGUAUUCACAAGUAAUGCACAGUUUCAUCCUGCUUUAAAACUUAGCAAACGAGGGCCUGGCAGCAUGGCCUAGCGGCUAAAGUCCUCGCUUUGAAUGCACCAGGAUCC